UACAGAGGGUGCAAGCGUUAAUCGGAAUUACUGGGCGUAAAGCGCACGCAGGCGGUUGGUUAAGUCAGAUGUGAAAGCCCCGGGCUCAACCUGGGAAUUGCAUUUGAAACUGGCCAACUAGAGUAUGUGAGAGGGGGGCAGAAUUCCAAGUGUAGCGGUGAAAUGCGUAGAGAUUUGGAGGAAUACCAGUGGCGAAGGCGGCCCCCUGGCACAAUACUGACGCUCAGGUGCGAAAGCGUGGGGAGCAAACAGG
rnacentral:rRNA from 1 species